rnacentral:rRNA from 1 species
CCUACGGGAGGCAGCAGUGGGGAAUAUUGGACAAUGGGCGCAAGCCUGAUCCAGCAAUGCCGCGUGAGUGAUGAAGGCCUUAGGGUCGUAAAGCUCUUUUACCAGGGAUGAUAAUGACAGUACCUGGAGAAUAAGCUCCGGCUAACUCCGUGCCAGCAGCCGCGGUAAUACGGAGGGAGCUAGCGUUGUUCGGAAUUACUGGGCGUAAAGCGUACGUAGGCGGUUAUUCAAGUCAGAGGUGAAAGCCCGGGGCUCAACCCCGGAACGGCCUUUGAAACUAGGUAGCUAGAAUCUUGGAGAGGUCAGUGGAAUUCCGAGUGUAGAGGUGAAAUUCGUAGAUAUUCGGAAGAACACCAGUGGCGAAGGCGACUGACUGGACAAGUAUUGACGCUGAGGUACGAAAGCGUGGGGAGCAAACAGGAUUAGAUACCCUGGUAGUCCACGCCGUAAACGAUGAUAACUAGCUGUUCGGGCACUUGGUGCUUGAGUGGCGCAGCUAACGCAUUAAGUUAUCCGCCUGGGGAGUACGGUCGCAAGAUUAAAACUCAAAAUGAAAUUGAACCGG